rnacentral:rRNA from 1 species
UACGAGGGGGGCGAGCGUUAUCCGGAUUUAUUGGGUUUAAAGGGUGCGUAGGCGGCCUGUUAAGUCAGGGGUGAAAGACGGUAGCUCAACUAUCGCAGUGCCCUUGAUACUGAUGGGCUUGAAUGUACUAGAGGUAGGCGGAAUGUGACAAGUAGCGGUGAAAUGCAUAGAUAUGUCACAGAACACCAAUUGCGAAGGCAGCUUACUAUGGUAUAAUUGACGCUGAGGCACGAAAGCGUGGGGAGCAAACAGG